UGCCUGCCCAGUGACGUAGUUAAACGGCCGCGGUAUUUUGACCGUGCAAAGGUAGCAUAAUCAUUUGCCUCUUAAAUAGAGGCUGGUAUGAAUGGCAAGACUGGGGUUAAGCUGUCUCUUUCUUAUUACUUGAAUUUUAUAUUUUUGUGAAGAAGCGGAAAUAAAUUCGUAGGACGAGAAGACCCUAUCGAGCUUUAAUAAAUUUGUUAGUAGUGAGUUGAUACAAAUUAUCUAAUAAAUCCAUUGAAUGGAUUUAAAAAUUUAAUAUUUUAUAUUACACUAUUUAACAAAAAAAUUUUGAUUGGGGCAAUCGCGGAGUACAAGAAGCCUCCGCUAUAAAUGUUAAAAAUUACCAUUUUUUAAAAAUAAAAAUGAUCCGCUGUAAAGCGAACAAAGGAACAAGUUACCGUAGGGAUAACAGCGUAAUUUUUUUGGAGAGUUCAUAUUGAUAAAAAAGUUUGCGACCUCGAUGUUGGAUCAAGAUUUCCUAGAGAUGCAGCAGUUUCU
rnacentral:rRNA from 1 species